UCGGAGCGUAAACUCCUUUUAUCAGGAAAGAAUAAUGACGGUACCUGAUGAAUAAGCACCGGCUAACUCCGUGCCAGCAGCCGCGGUAAUACGGGGGGUGCAAGCGUUACUCGGAAUCACUGGGCGUAAAGGACGCGUAGGCGGAUUAUCAAGUCUUUUGUGAAAUCUAGUGGCUUAACCACUAAACUGCUUAGGAAACUGAUAGUCUAGAGUAGGGGAGAGGUAGAUGGAAUUCUUGGUGUAGGGGUAAAAUCCGUAGAGAUCAAGAAGAAUACCCAUUGCGAAAGCGAUCUGCUGGAACCUAACUGACGCUGAGGCGUGAAAGCGUGGGUAGCAAACAGGAUUAGAUACCCUGGUAGUCCACGCCCUAAACGAUGUAUACUAGUUGUUGCUUUGCUAGUCAAGGCAGUAAUGCAGCUAACGCAUUAAGUAUACCGCCUGGGGAGUACGGUCGCAAGAUUAAAACUCAAAGGAAUAGACGGGGACCCGCACAAGCGGUGGAGCAUGUGGUUUAAUUCGAAGAUACGCGAAGAACCUUACCUGGACUUGACAUCCUAAAAACAUCUAAGAGAUUAGAAAGUGCUAGUUUACUAGAAUUUAGUGACAGGUGCUGCACGGCUGUCGUCAGCUCGUGUCGUGAGAUGUUGGGUUAAGUCCCGCAACGAGCGCAACCCACGUGUUUAGUUGCUAACAGCUCGGCUGAGCACUCUAAACAGACUGCCUUCGUAAGGAGGAGGAAGGUGUGGACGACGUCAAGUCAUCAUGGCCCUUAUGUCCAGGGCGACACAC
rnacentral:rRNA from 1 species